GUCACCCAUCCUAGUACUACUCUCGCCCAAGCACGCUUAACUUCGGAGUUCUGAUGGGAUCCGGUGCUUUAGUGCUGGUAUGAUCGCAUCCGACAUACCGUGCGUUCUCCUCCCCUUUAUACCCGCGCCUCCGUGUACGGCCCGCCCAUAGCUCCUUCGACGGCGCCGCCUAGGAACGCGGAGAAAAUAUGACAAAGGAACGGCCAAAAAUAAAAAGAAAGACCUUUCUUUUGAAAAAACAAGCAAAAAAAAGGAAUGCAACACGAGGACUUCCCAGGAGGUCACCCAUCCUAGUACUACUCUCGCCCAAGCACGCUUAACUUCGGAGUUCUGAUGGGAUCCGGUGCUUUAGUGCUGGUAUGAUCGCAUCCGACAUACCGUGCGUUCUCCUCCCCUUUAUGCCCGCGCCUCCGUGUACGGCCCGCCCAUAGCUCCUUCGACAGCGCCGCCUAGGAACGCGGAGAAAAUAUGACAAAGGAACGGCAAAAAAUAAAAAGAAAGACCUUUCUUUUGAAAAAACAAACAAAAAAAAGGAAUGCAACACGCGGACUUCCCAGGAGGUCACCCAUCCUAGUACUACUCUCGCCUAAGCACGCUUAACUUCGGAGUNNNNNNNNNNNNNNNNNNNNNNNNNNNNNNNNNNNNNNNNNNNNNNNNNNNNNNNNNNNNNNNNNNNNNNNNNNNNNNNNNNNNNNNNNNNNNNNNNNNNNNNNNNNNNNNNNNNNNNNNNNNNNNNNNNNNNNNNNNNNNNNNNNNNNNNNNNNNNNNNNNNNNNNNNNNNNNNNNNNNNNNNNNNNNNNNNNNNNNNNNNNNNNNNNNNNNNNNNNNNNNNNNNNNNNNNNNNNNNNNNNNNNNNNNNNNNNNNNNNNNNNNNNNNNNNNNNNNNNNNNNNNNNNNNNNNNNNNNNNNNNNNNNNNNNNNNNNNNNNNNNNNNNNNNNNNNNNNNNNNNNNNNNNNNNNNNNNNNNNNNNNNNNNNNNNNNNNNNNNNNNNNNNNNNNNNNNNNNNNNNNNNNNNNNNNNNNNNNNNNNNNNNNNNNNNNNNNNNNNNNNNNNNNNNNNNNNNNNNNNNNNNNNNNNNNNNNNNNNNNNNNNNNNNNNNNNNNNNNNNNNNNNNNNNNNNNNNNNNNNNNNNNNNNNNNNNNNNNNNNNNNNNNNNNNNNNNNNNNNNNNNNNNNNNNNNNNNNNNNNNNNNNNNNNNNNNNNNNNNNNNNNNNNNNNNNNNNNNNNNNNNNNNNNNNNNNNNNNNNNNNNNNNNNNNNNNNNNNNNNNNNNNNNNNNNNNNNNNNNNNNNNNNNNNNNNNNNNNNNNNNNNNNNNNNNNNNNNNNNNNNNNNNNNNNNNNNNNNNNNNNNNNNNNNNNNNNNNNNNNNNNNNNNNNNNNNNNNNNNNNNNNNNNNNNNNNNNNNNNNNNNNNNNNNNNNNNNNNNNNNNNNNNNNNNNNNNNNNNNNNNNNNNNNNNNNNNNNNNNNNNNNNNNNNNNNNNNNNNNNNNNNNNNNNNNNNNNNNNNNNNNNNNNNNNNNNNNNNNNNNNNNNNNNNNNNNNNNNNNNNNNNNNNNNNNNNNNNNNNNNNNNNNNNNNNNNNNNNNNNNNNNNNNNNNNNNNNNNNNNNNNNNNNNNNNNNNNNNNNNNNNNNNNNNNNNNNNNNNNNNNNNNNNNNNNNNNNNNNNNNNNNNNNNNNNNNNNNNNNNNNNNNNNNNNNNNNNNNNNNNNNNNNNNNNNNNNNNNNNNNNNNNNNNNNNNNNNNNNNNNNNNNNNNNNNNNNNNNNNNNNNNNNNNNNNNNNNNNNNNNNNNNNNNNNNNNNNNNNNNNNNNNNNNNNNNNNNNNNNNNNNNNNNNNNNNNNNNNNNNNNNNNNNNNNNNNNNNNNNNNNNNNNNNNNNNNNNNNNNNNNNNNNNNNNNNNNNNNNNNNNNNNNNNNNNNNNNNNNNNNNNNNNNNNNNNNNNNNNNNNNNNNNNNNNNNNNNNNNNNNNNNNNNNNNNNNNNNNNNCCUUCAUCCAUCUGUGCGAGGCCUAUGUUGGCAUAGAGCCGCACUUUGAUCUUUUCCGGUAUCUUUUCUGUCUGAGGAAGAAGGGAGCAGUUGGAGGCUCCAAGGUUGCAGGUGGAGUAUACCUCAACCUCCGUGAUGGGAUGAAGAAUCGCUACCUGCACUGCCCAUGGAACACCUCCUUGACCGAAUGGUACAGGAAGUGGUUCUACGUCAGGGAGGAACCGGGCAGCUCCACGUUCUGCGACGUGGGGUACGUUCCCGAGAAGAGGGCGAGCUGGACUGACCGCCCAGAGUUCGACGGUCAAGUGGCGGUUCUGAUGAAGCUGAUCGACUGGUCGCGCCUGGAUGGGCUCAGCGUGGUCGGCAACUUCAUUUGCCGCCGGGUGAUGCCCUGCCAGAAGAGGGUGCACUCGGCGUAUGAAUAUGCCGGAAGCACAGACCCGACCAGGAUGCGGUCGGAGAUCCUGGAGAAGGCGGAGGUACAACAGCUGCUGAACGAGCUGUUUAACUUCGCGGAUGGGGGCUUCACCCGUAGCAGUGAUCGGGUGCAAGCCUUCAAGUUAGGACGACCAGCACCAAAGGUAUGUAGCAGACUUCGUUUGAUCAUUCGUAUGUCGCCUGUAGUUGGCUCAUCUCUGUUACCUUUGCAGGUCGGUGAUGUCGACCGGUGCGUAGUGUACGUAUCACUGGCACCGGGGAUGGAAGAUCCUGUGGGAGAGGUCCCACCGGAGGAAGGCAGAGCCCGCCCCGUCCCGACCUCCGAGGAGAGGGUGGCGGGGAAAAGGCCAUUGCCGGUGGAUCCCCUGCCGACGCCGGAGCUGCCGGCAGACCUACCGGCGGAGAGCAGCCAAGCGCCGAAGCGUCGUCGGCUCGUGCGGAUCGUCGACGACGACGACGACGACGAGGAGGCUGCGCCGUCGUUGGUCCGACGGCCUCGGGGCCGCCCAGACGCUGCACCAGUCGCCACUGAUCGAGUGGCCAACGGCGCGGCUGCCCCGCAAGUUGCCGAGGUGGGGGCACAGGCGCCGACCGGCCGGGCGAGGAGGAGGUUCACCGCGACCCAUCGCCGGUCAGACCUGUAAGUGUUCAACUUACGUAUUUUGGACUCCCCCUUUUUUUUUUUUUUAAACUUUUGUUCCUGUAGUGCGGCAUCGGAUGUCGACCCUGGCCAAACUGCCGGCCAGGGAACGGGCGAGCCUGCCCGCGGUUCUCGGGAUGCGGCCCCCCAGACCACAGAACAGCCGACUGCUGCAGUCGCGCCUGGGAGCACCGAGGAGCUCCCGAGCGCGGCGCCGACUACAACAAGCAGCCCGACCAGGGCUGGGGAGGCUCCCCCAACUGACUCUUCGGAGAAGGGAAAGUCUCCGACCGCUCCUCCUGCCGGGGGGAGUGAAGUCCCCCCGCCGCCCCGAGCAGAAGCCUCUCCGGCUGCGGGCUCCCCAGGUCUGGUCCAAGGGACGUUGACGCCUGGGACCACCACCGGGGGUGACGCAGCCCAGGAGGAGGAAACCAGGGCGGCCUCCGACGACGAGGUAGAAGAGAUCGAGGGUCGUCCCCGUGAUGGCCGCCAACACGUGUAUGUGUGGCGCCAACGCGGGGAUCACUUUAUCGGUCAUGAGGAGCUUGCCGAGUCCGAAGAGGCCGCCAGGGUGGAGCGCGCGGCCAAGCGCCUUGUCGACGAAGUCAAGGUAAGCGUCGUUUUGAGCUGCCGCGCAUUCUUUUGCCUUGUCUUCUGCGCAUUGUUAUAUGCUUGCUUUGUAGGACGUUAUGAAAACGGCGAAGUACCGGAAACGGUGCUUUGACCAGAUAGAAGGCGUCAUGGCCGAGAACAAGGCCCUUGCCGCGGAGGUAGACCGGUUGCGGGCGGAGGUCGGAGAGAAGGUGGUCGAGAUGAGCACCGAGAAGGAGCGUCGUCUCGACCUCGCUCGUCGCCUGGCCGACCAGUACCGGCUGCAGGAAGGUUAGUCUCACGCUCCGAGCAGUUUCGCAGACUUGUAUAGUUUGCUUCGCUGACCAGUUUAGGAUUCACGCAGACUUGGAGGAGGAGGUGGCGAGCCUCCAACAAGAGAAGGAGCAGCUCGGCCAACAGCUCGCCAGUGCGCAGGAGUCCGGACGGCGAGCGGAAGAGGAAUUAAGUCGUAAAGACCGGGAGUUAGCUGGUAAUGGGUGCCGCCUUGUUGGUUGCUACCUGCCCCUUUGCUUGUUUGGUAUGCCGAAAGUAACGUUUCGUUUCGUUUGCAGUGCUCAAGGUGAACACCAAAAAGCACCUGGAUGAGCUGGUCAAGGACCGGGACUCCUGGAAGGUCAACUGUUGCAGGAUCUGGAAGGGAGUGUCCCCGGUCCUGGACCUGAUCAGUCCCGAGCUCCCGGAGAGCCAGCCCCGCGCGCCGCAGUUGACCCCGGUUCAAAAGGCGCAACGGGCGUGGGACUGGCUCCAGCAGUUUGUGAAGGACGCCGGGGAGUUUGCCGGCGCGCACGUCCUCAGCAUGGUACGCGCCCACUACCCCCUUGUCGACUUGAGCAGGCUGGAGAAGGGGUACCCGAAGGAAGUCGGCCCACAGGAAGCGGACGAACUUCGGGGUAGUCUGCUGGACUUGUCGUCGACAGUGAUCGGCGACAUCAACCUGUGCGGAACGGCCACUCCUCCAGACCAGCCGAGCUCAGAUAGGUCGGCCAGGGAGUUGUCGGGCGCGUCCUUUGCUGGAGAUGGGCGGUCGACGCCUGCGGUCUCGACCAGCCAGGCGCCGGUGGCCCCGACCCCUUCGUCCGGGCAGCAGGGCCAGGCGGGUGAUCAGCCCGAGCAGCUAGGCCAAUAAAGUAGUCUGUAGGAAUAGACUAGUAUCUGCCCGUCAGGGUAUUUAUUGUAAACUUUGUAUGUAAAGUUUGUAAUAAAGUUUUCUUUUUGUCAUGACUGUUGUUUUGAGCGCUGUAAAAAUAUCUGAGUGAUGUGUCAUCGUAUUUGUCUUGGUUGUCGCCAAGAGCAUCCAUUGCGGGAGUUUUGCCGAGUGCUGUGUAUGACAAGGUAUAGGCAAAAAAUAGAGAAUUAUAUUGUCACAAAUUAUAAGACACUUACAAAAGAAAGUCGCUAAAACUUUAUGGAUAGAAACGUCGCAGUUUGUCGAUGUGCCAAGAGUUAGGCACUCGUGUUCCGUCUGGGUAUGCCAAUCUGUAGGACGUAGGUCGUGUGACCUCGGUCACCACGAAGGGUCCUUCCCAGGGAGUAGAUAACUUGUGCAUUCCCUCCUGGCUUGUUUUCCAUCGAAGCACCAGAUCGCCGACCACGAAGGAACGGUCCUUGACGUUCCUGUUGUAGUAUCGCCUGACUGCCGUGAGAUAUUUUGCUGUUCGGAGACAUGAAACUAAACGCUUUUCCUCCAUGCAAUUGAUUUCGAGUUCUCUGGCGUUGUCGGCGGUCGACUGGUCGAAGUGCUCAAUUCUAGGGGAUCCGAAGUGUAUGUCGGACGGCAGAACCGCCUCUGCGCCGUACACCAUGAAAUAGGGAGACACCCCCGUGUUUCGACUGGUCUGAGUUCGAAGGCCCCAGACCACUGCCGGCAAUUCUUUCAUCCAUCGACCGGGUGCUCUGUCGUUCUCGGUGUACAAUCUUUUCUUUAGGGCGUCGACGAUCAUUCCAUUAGCACGUUCGACCUGACCGUUGGCACGUGGAUGUGCCACUGACACAUAUUUUAUGACUAUGCCUCUGUCAUCGCAGAAAUCCCAAAAGGUGGUGCCAGUAAACUGAGUGCCCAGGUCGGUGAUUAUGCUGUUCGGGAUGCCGAAUCUGUGUAUGAUUUGAUUGAGGAACUCCACAGCCUUCUCGGAAGUUGCCUUGACCAGGGGCAUGUAUUCAAUCCACUUGGAGAACUUGUCGAUUAACACGAAGACAAACUUGAAGUUGCCCGGGGCUGGUUUAAAUGGUCCGAUCAUGUCAAGCCCCCAGCAGGCAAAGGGCCAAGACGACGGGAUGGUUUGAAUUUCAUGGGCAGGUACGUGGGUCCUCUUAGCGAAAAACUGACAUCCUUCGCAACGCCGAACCAGUUUUUCUGCAUCGCUGACCGCGGUCGGCCAGUAAAAACCUGCUCGGAAAGCCUUUCCGACCAGCGUUCUAGAUGCGGCGUGGUUGCCGCAGGAUCCGGCGUGUAUGUCCUCCAAGAGCUUGAUACCAUCGUCUUGGGGUAUGCACUUGAGCAGUACCUCGGAGCUUGCGUUUUUCCGCAUGAGUUUUCCGUCGACCAGGAUGUAGUUCUUUGACCGUCGGAUGAGACGCUCGUUCUCUGUUUUGUCCUGAAAACCUGUCCCGUCUGAGAUGUAUUUGAUGAACGGGACACGCCAGUCGCGCCCGCCGGUUGUCGGAGUGGCGUCAUCUAUGAGCAUUGCCUCGUUGGGUUGCUUGUCGACCAGGGGGGAGCUUACGCUCGGCUCAUGGAUGUCCUGGACGAAAAUACCGCGCGGGAUUUGGGCCCGGGACGAGCCUAACUUUGACAACGCAUCUGCUGCUUGGUUCUUAUCCCGGACCACGUGGAUGUACUCUAUGCCAUAGAAGUUAGUUUCCCAUUUGCGAAUUUCUUUGCAGUAGAGAUCCAUCUUCUCGUGGGUUGCGUCCCACUCCUUGUUGAGCUGGUUGAUGACCAAAGCGGAGUCCCCGUAGACAUAGAGGCGCUUAACCCCCAGCUCAACGGCUAGUCGUACGCCAUGUAAGCAAGCUUCAUAUUCGGCGACAUUGUUUGACGCCGGGAAAAGGAUCCGAAGGACGUAGCGGAGUUUGUCCUUGUUUGGUGAUACGAACAAUAUCCCAGCGCCUGCACCGUUGAUGUUCAAGGACCCAUCAAAGAACAUUGACCAGUGGUCUGAGACAUCGGGAACGGACGGUUCGUUGAGAUCCGUCCAUUCGGCAAUGAAAUCGACCAGGGCUUGGGACUUGACAGUGGUGCGACUCUGAAACUCCAGGGAAAAUGGACAUAAUUCCAUUGCCCAUUUCACGAUUCUGCCAUUGGCGUCUUUAUUGCGCAGGAUGUCACCGAGGGGAAAGCUGGUUGUCACCAGGACUCGAUGGCCGUCGAAGUAGUGCUUCAGUUUUCUUGACGUUAUCAGGAUGGCGUAUAUAAGCUUCUGUAUUUGUGGGUACCUGGCCUUGGAUUCGUUUAAAACUUCGCUUAUGAAGUAAACGGGCCUCUGGACCUUGAAGACGUGACCUGGUUCAUCUCGCUCGACCACUAUUGCCGUGGAAACAACUCUGUCGGUUGCAGCAAUGUAAAGGAGCAGGUCUUCGUUGGGCUGAGGCGCUGUGAGAACAGGCGGUGAAGUGAGGAAGGUCUUAAGCUGAGUGAACGCAGCGUCGGCGUCUUCUAUCCAGGAGAAUUUUUCUGACGCUUUCAAUAGUUUGAAAAAGGGGAGGCCUUUUUCUCCCAGCCUUGAGAUGAAACGACUGAGAGCGGCCAUGCAUCCGGUUAGCUUCUGAAUAUCCUUGACGUUCUUCGGUGGUCGCAUGUCGAGUACGGCUUUGACUUUUGAAGGGUUUGGCCGUAUGCCGUCGCAACUGACGACGUUGCCGAGCAGUAGACCGGAAGGAACGCCGAAAAUGCAUUUCUUGGGGUUGAGCUUCCACUUGUACCUAUUGAGUGCCUUGAAGGUUCGGUCUAAGUUGUCGAUUAGGGUGCUCGCAUCCCUUGUUUUUACGACCACGUCGUCCACAUAGGCCUCGACGAGGUCGUCGCGAAUCUCGUCGUGGAGGCAUUGCUGGAUGGCCCUUUGAUAAGUGGCCCCGGCGUUUUUAAGUCCGAAAGACAUGGUAGUGUAACAGUAUGCGCCGAAAGGUGUGAUGAAGGAUGUUUUGAUCUGAUCUUCUUCUUUUAACGAGAUCUGGUGAUAACCAGAGUAGCAAUCUAGAAAGGAGAGGAGUUCGCAUCCGGCCGUUGAGUCGACCACCUCGUCGAUGCGAGGAAGACCAAAAGGAUCUUUAGGACAGUGUUUGUUGAGAUCGGUGUAAUCAACGCACAUUCUCCAUUCAUUAUUCUUUUUGCGUACAAGAACCGGAUUGGCGAGCCAAUCGGGAUGAUACACCUCUUUUAUGAAUCCGGCUGCUAGAAGCCGUGUUAUUUCUGUCCUAAUAGCCUCCUUUUUGUCACGAGCGAACCGUCGCAGUUUUUGCUUGAUUGGUCUUGCGGUCUUCGAGACGUUUAAGGAGUGCUCGAUCAGGUUCCGUGGGACGCCGGGCAUGUCUGCGGGUUUCCAUGCGAAAACGCUCACGUUGUCCCUUAGAAACCUGACGAGCGCGUCUUCCUAUUUUGGAUCCAGGUUAGCCCCGAUGAGGGCUGUCUUCUCGGGGUUGCCCUCGACCAGCUGCACUUCUUUGUACUCCUUGGAUUUCGAAUUCUUUCUGGCUGUCUCCUGCUCAGGUAAUCGGAGCUGGUCGGGGGGCAGCUGUGCGGCUUGGUUUGCUGUUUCCGCCAUGCGGAUUGAGAGGUCAAUUGCCUCGGUGAUCUUGAAACUUUCUUCUUCGCAGGUGUACGCAGUGUAGACGUUGCCUCUGACGGUCAGGACACCCUUCUCCGUGGGCAUCUUAAGCACUAGGUACGAGUAGUGCGGGACUGCCAUGAACUUUGUCAGCGAUGGGCGGCCCAGUAUGGCGUGGUAGGUCCCGUCGAAGUCCGCGACUACGAAGUUGAUGAACUCCGUCCGGAAGUGAUCGGGUGUGCCGAAUUGGACAGGCAAUGUUAUCUGUCCGAGGGGCACCGAACUUUGACCUGGCAAAACCCCCCAGAAUUGGGCGUCGUAAGGUUUUAGUUGGGCCGGUGAUAUCUUGAGGGCGGGCAGGCUGUUGCGGAAGAGGAUGUCAAUGGAGCUUCCCCCGUCCACGAGCACGCGCUCGAAUCUGAUGCUGUUGAUGCAAGGAUCGAGAAUUAGUGGGAAACGACCCGGCUCCGGGAUAGCGGCCCACUGGUCCUUCCUGCUGAACGCGAUCUCCCUAUGGGACCAGGCGGGAAAUUUCAGAUCUGCGAUCAGCCCGUCCGUGCUGUCUAUGUUGAGGCAGGCUCUCUUCAACAGCUUUCUUUCUCGCUUGGACUCAGUGGAGACCUUGCCCCCGAAAAUGGAGUGGACCACGUCGGUGGGGCUGACGUAUUGGUGUCGGGGGUCCCUGUCUUGGUCCUCGUCCUCAUCUUCGUGGUCGUGCCCGUCGCGUUUGUUACUUUUCUUGGCGGUGUCUUCUUGGGCGGCCCGCCGUGUAUAGAUAUUUUUGAGGACGCGGCACUCUUCCAUGGUAUGGUUAGACUUUGGAUGUAGCUGGCACGGUCCCUUCAACGUUUUGUUGUAGUCGUCUUGGUAGUCCCGUCGUCCAUUGGGACGUUUGACCGUGUUUACUUCGUGGUCGUAUUCGCGAGGGCGCUUUCCUCUGAAGUCGUCGCGGCUGUCGCGCCGCCGAUCCCAACCCUCUCGGUGAUCGCGGUUGUCGGAGCGACGGUGAUUUCUGUUGUCGUAGCGGCCGCGACCGUCGUCUCGCCGGGAGGGCUGGUCGGUGCCUCUCGCAUCGUCUCGGAUUAGUUUUUCUGCGUCAUCAGCAUCGGCAUAAUUUUUAGCCGUGGCGAGGAGCUCUGCUACUGUUGAUGGACGUUUACGCAACAGCUUGUUCCUCAGCGCUUCAUGGAAACGUAAGCCCUUGAUAAAGGCUGAUAUGGCCUCGUCAUGAGAAAUCUUCGGGAUUUUGAGACGCAUAUCCGAGAAUCGUCGGAUGUAAUCACGCAGAGGUUCAUUCUUCCUGUCUCUUAUCCUUUCAAGGUCAUACUUGUUUCCGGGCUGUUCGCAUGUGGCGAUGAAGUUGUCAAUGAAAGCCUGUCGUAGUUCUUCCCAAGAGUCGAAGGAGUCCUCGGGCAAGCCGAGAAGCCACUGAUGACCAGCCUGGUCGAGGACUACGGGGAAGUAGUUAGCCAUGACGUGCUCAUCUCCUGCCGCUGAUCGGACGGCGAUUUCGUAGAGGGUGAUCCAGUUCUCUGGAUUUUCCUUGCCGUCGUAUUUUUUAAGUUUUUCGAGCUUGAAAUUUCUGGGCCACACGACCUGGCGGAGGUGUGAGGAGAACUGCCUUAGGCCCGGGGGACCAUGGGUCGCAUCGUACUCGAUGCGGCGUAGGUUUUCGUGGACUGCUCUCUCUGCGGCGCGCCUGUUGAUGCGGUCCCGGGCAUCUUUGGGAGGGAUGUUGUGGCGGAGAUCCCUGUGUUGAUCUUCUUCUUCCUGGCCGCGUACGCGGUUCUGCUGGCGGCGGCCAUCGGCGUCUCGACCACCAUCGUCGCGCCGUGAGUCCCCUCGACGGUUGUCGGGGGAGCGCCUGCGGCGACGCCUGCUGGGCGAGGCCCGGCUACGAUGAGUCUGGUCGGAGGCGGCUUCCGUAUAAGGGACGUCCUGGACUCUCUUAAGCAGAGUUGCUGUCUGUCCCAUCGCGGCGAUCAGGUGUGCUCGGAUACUGGUCCGGACCCCCUGGCAUUCUGGUGUGUCAGGAAGCCGAUCCAGGUUGGCCAUGGCAACAGCCACGUUGGCGCUUGGCGUUUUGUAGACCGGCUGGUCCCCGACCAUGUCAAAGGCAUCGUUGAGGUUACCCGGUGGCGUCUGUUGUUGCUCGUCCGCACGCCGUCGGGCGCGAUCGGCGUUACGCUGUUCGCGGAGUUGCCUCUGGUCGUCUGUUUCUCCGUCAACAACCGGUUCGUCGGCGCUGACAUUGAAUACAAUAUCCCCUCGCCGGGGGGGGGGAAUAUCGGGAACCGGUCGAAACCCGGAGGGUGUGAAGGGAAAUCCAGGUCGUAGCCCUCGUCUUCGGUGUUUAUAACCUCGGUGGGGACGGAGCCGGUGCUUGAGUUGGUGCUGGAAACCUGGCCGUUCCGUAGCUCUCGGAUUGUCACCAUGUUGACAUGGUGACGAUUGUUCCUUGUCGGCGACCAGCCCGCUUUGCUGAAAACGGAUUGAACAUGCUGUGAGUAGACAGAGGCCGAGUUAUUCAGGCCGCAAGGAUGGUCUCCCUUUUUGAGCUCGACGGAUCGGCCUGAGGAGGUUGAGGUUAUCGCCAGGGACGUUCCCAGCCGUUCGUGUGUGGUGACACGAGUUGGCCGGCGGGAUUUCGAAAAAUCCGCUUGAGUGGCUUGGUCGGGCCGGCGCAGAAUUCCAUCUAUUAGUUGGGAGACUUCGAGCAGCUUGGAGUCGGCGCGAUCGAGCGCUUGGAGGAGGUCCGAGCAGUCGAUCUCCUUUCCCUUGUAGAGUGGGAACGGUGGCCGGGAGUUUGGUGCCGUCAUGCGUGUGGUCGGAGACGGCGUGAUCUCAGAUUGGAUCUGGAUCUCUUUCGGGACCGUGGUCGGGAAGCCGCCGCUGCACGUCGUCCACGUGAUCUGGCCGACGGUAAACGUGAGGCCUUCGGGCACGGUCGCGGAAGCUGGGAUCGUGACCAUCUUGUUCGCCGGAAAAGUUGCACGCACACCCCCUACCUGGCGCGCCACUGUCGACGAAAGCUGGUCGGCAGUCUACCUUGGGGUAUACCCACGGUAGUAGUUUAUCGGUAGACGGUGCGCAAACUACGAACUCGAUGGUGACGCAAGACACGGACAAGCUUUUUAUCCAGGUUCGGCCGCCGAGUUGGCGUAAUACCUACGUCCUGCGUCUGGUUGUAUUGGAUUGUGUUUAGAGAUAAUCUACCCUAGGGGGUCCCCUUGCCCCUCCUUAUAUAGUCUGGAGGGCAGGGUUACAGAUCUAGAAACUAAUCCUAGCCGGUUACAAUUGCCAUAGAUAAUUCGAUAUCAAUUCCUAUUCUAACCGACUAGAAUCCUGCUUGAUCUCCACGUCCUGUUUCCUUGCGCGAAACUCGGGCUAUCGGAUCAAGCCUUGAACUCGUCUCGUAGUGGGCCAAGCUUCCUAGCUGAAGUCUAGCCGUAAGGGUAUAGGGGUUUAUACCCCCACACCGUGCGUUCUCCUCCCCUUUAUGCCCGCGCCUCCGUGUACGGCCCGCCCAUAGCUCCUUCGACGGCGCCGCCUAGGAACGCGGAGAAAAUAUGACAAAGGAACGGCCAAAAAUAAAAAGAAAGACCUUUCUUUUGAAAAAACAAACAAAUAAAAGGAAUGCAACACGAGGACUUCCCAGGAGGUCACCCAUCCUAGUACUACUCUCGCCCAAGCACGCUUAACUUCGGAGUUCUGAUGGGAUCCGGUGCUUUAGUGCUGGUAUGAUCGCAUCCGACAUACCGUGCGUUCUCCUCCCCUUUAUGCCCGCGCCUCCGUGUACGGCCCGCCCAUAGCUCCUUCGACGGCGCCGCCUAGGAACGCGGAGAAAAUAUGACAAAGGAACGGCCAAAAAUAAAAAGAAAGACCUUUCUUUUGAAAAAACAAACAAAAAAAAGGAAUGCAACACGAGGACUUCCCAGGAGGUCACCCAUCCUAGUACUACUCUCGCCCAAGCACGCUUAACUUCGGAGUUCUGAUGGGAUCCGGUGCUUUAGUGCUGGUAUGAUCGCAUCCGACAUACCGUGCGUUCUCCUCCCCUUUAUGCCCGCGCCUCCGUGUACGGCCCGCCCAUAGCUCUUUCGACGGCGCCGCCUAGGAACGCGGAGAAAAUAUGACAAAGGAACGGCCAAAAAUAAAAGAAAGACCUUUCUUUUGAAAAAACAAACGCCUCCGUGUACGGCCCGCCCAUAGCUCCUCCGACGGCCCCGCCUAGGAACGCGAAGAAAAUAUGACAAAGGAACGCCCAAAAAUAAAAAGAAAGACCUUUCUUUUGAAAAAACAAACAUUAAAAAGGAAUGCAACACGAGGACUUCCCAGGAGGUCACCAAUCCUAGUACUACUCUCGCCCAAGCACGCUUAACUUCGAAGUUCUGAUGGGAUCCGGUGCUUUAGUGCUGGUAUGAUCGCAUCCGACAUACCGUGCGUUCUCCUCCCCUUUAUGCCCGCGCCUCCGUGUACGGCCCGCCCAUAGCUCCUUCGACGGCGCCGCCUAGGAACGCGGAGAAAAUAUGACAAAGGAACGGCCAAAAAUAAAAAGAAAGACCUUUCUUUUGAAAAAACAAACAAAAAAAAGGAAUGCAACACGAGGACUUCCCAGGAGGUCACCCAUCCUAGUACUACUCUCGCCCAAGCACGCUUAACUUCGGAGUUCUGAUGGGAUCCGGUGCUUUAGUGCUGGUAUGAUCGCAUCCGACAUACCGUGCGUUCUCCUCCCCUUUAUGCCCGCGCCUCCGUGUACGGCCCGCCCAUAGCUCCUUCGACGGCGCCGCCUAGGAACGCGGAGAAAAUAUGACAAAGGAACGGCCAAAAAUAAAAAGAAAGACCUUUCUUUUGAAAAAACAAACAAAAAAAAGGAAUGCAACACGAGGACUUCCCAGGAGGUCACCCAUCCUAGUACUACUCUCGCCCAAGCACGCUUAACUUCGGAGUUCUGAUGGGAUCCGGUGCUUUAGUGCUGGUAUGAUCGCAUCCGACAUACCGUGCGUUCUCCUCCCCUUUAUGCCCGCGCCUCCGUGUACGGCCCGCCCAUAGCUCCUUCGACGGCGCCGCCUAGGAACGCGGAGAAAAUAUGACAAAGGAACGGCCAAAAAUAAAAAGAAAGACCUUUCUUUUGAAAAAAAAAACAAAAAAAAGGAAUGCAACACGAGGACUUCCCAGGAGGUCACCCAUCCUAGUACUACUCUCGCCCAAGCACGCUUAACUUCGGAGUUCUGAUGGGAUCCGGUGCUUUAUUGCUGGUAUGAUCGCAUCCGACAUACCGUGCGUUCUCCUCCCCUUUAUGCCCGCACCUCCGUGUACGGCCCGCCCAUAGCUCCUUCGACGGCGCCGCCUAGGAACGCGGAGAAAAUAUGACAAAGGAACGGCCAAAAAUAAAAAGAAAGACCUUUCUUUUGAAAAAACAAACAAAAAAAAGGAAUGCAACACGAGGACUUCCCAGGAGGUCACCCAUCCUAGUACUACUCUCGCCCAAGCACGCUUAACUUCGGAGUUCUGAUGGGAUCCGGUGCUUUAGUGCUGGUAUGAUCGCAUCCGACAUACCGUGCGUUCUCCUCCCCUUUAUGCCCGCGCCUCCGUGUACGGCCCGCCCAUAGCUCCUUCGACGGCGCCGCCUAGGAACGCGGAGAAAAUAUGACAAAGGAACGGCCAAAAAUAAAAAGAAAGACCUUUCUUUUGAAAAAACAAACAAAUAAAAGGAAUGCAACACGAGGACUUCCCAGGAGGUCACCCAUCCUAGUACUACUCUCGCCCAAGCACGCUUAACUUCGAAGUUCUGAUGGGAUCCGGUGCUUUAGUGCUGGUAUGAUCGUAUCCGACAUACCGUGCGUUCUCCUCCCCUGAAUGCCCGCGCCUCCGUGUACGGCCCGCCCAGAGCUCUUUAGAUGGGACUUCCGAUGGAAUCGGAGACAAUAGGACAAAGGAACGGCCAAAAAUAAAAAGAAAGACCUUUCUUCCGAAAAAACAAACGCCUCCGUGUACGGCCCGCCCAUAGCUCCUUCGACGGCGCCGCCUAGGAACGCGGAGAAAAUAUGACAAAGGAACGGCCAAAAAUAAAAAGAAAGACCUUUCUUUUGAAAAAACAAACAAAAAAAAGGAAUGCAACACGAGGACUUCCCAGGAGGUCACCCAUCCUAGUACUACUCUCGCCCAAGCACGCUUAACUUCGGAGUUCUGAUGGGAUCCGGUGCUUUAGUGCUGGUAUGAUCGCAUCCGACAUACCGUGCGUUCUCCUCCCCUUUAUGCCCGCGCCUCCGUGUACGGCCCGCCCAUAGCUCCUUCGACGGCGCCGCCUAGGAACGCGGAGAAAAUAUGACAAAGGAACGGCCAAAAAUAAAAAGAAAGACCUUUCUUUUGAAAAAACAAACGCCUCCGUGUACGGCCCGCCCAUAGCUCCUUCGACGGCGCCGCCUAGGAACGCGGAGAAAAUAUGACAAAGGAACGGCCAAAAAUAAAAAGAAAGACCUUUCUUUUGAAAAAACAAACAAAAAAAAGGAAUGCAACACGAGGACUUCCCAGGAGGUCACCCAUCCUAGUACUACUCUCGCCCAAGCACGCUUAACUUCGGAGUUCUGAUGGGAUCCGGUGCUUUAGUGCUGGUAUGAUCGCAUCCGACAUACCGUGCGUUCUCCUCCCCUUUAUGCCCGCGCCUCCGUGUACGGCCCGCCCAUAGCUCCUUCGACGGCGCCGCCUAGGAACGCGGAGAAAAUAUGACAAAGGAACGGCCAAAAAUAAAAAGAAAGACCUUUCUUUUGAAAAAACAAACAAAAAAAAGGAAUGCAACACGAGGACUUCCCAGGAGGUCACCCAUCCUAGUACUACUCUCGCCCAAGCACGCUUAACUUCGGAGUUCUGAUGGGAUCCGGUGCUUUAGUGCUGGUAUGAUCGCAUCCGACAUACCGUGCGUUCUCCUCCCCUUUAUGCCCGCGCCUCCGUGUACGGCCCGCCCAUAGCUCCUUCGACGGCGCCGCCUAGGAACGCGGAGAAAAUAUGACAAAGGAACGGCCAAAAAUAAAAAGAAAGACCUUUCUUUUGAAAAAACAAACAAAUAAAAGGAAUGCAACACGAGGACUUCCCAGGAGGUCACCCAUCCUAGUACUACUCUCGCCCAAGCACGCUUAACUUCGGAGUUCUGAUGGGAUCCGGUGCUUUAGUGCUGGUAUGAUCGCAUCCGACAUACCGUGCGUUCUCCUCCCCUUUAUGCCCGCGCCUCCGUGUACGGCCCGCCCAUAGCUCCUUCGACGGCGCCGCCUAGGAACGCGGAGAAAAUAUGACAAAGGAACGGCCAAAAAUAAAAAGAAAGACCUUUCUUUUGAAAAAACAAACAAAUAAAAGGAAUGCAACACGAGGACUUCCCAGGAGGUCACCCAUCCUAGUACUACUCUCGCCCAAGCACGCUUAACUUCGGAGCUCUGAUGGGAUCCGGUGCUUUAGUGCUGGUAUGAUCGCAUCCGACAUACCGUGCGUUCUCCUCCCCUUUAUGCCCGCGCCUCCGUGUACGGCCCGCCCAUAGCUCCUUCGACGGCGCCGCCUAGGAACGCGGAGAAAAUAUGACAAAGGAACGGCCAAAAAUAAAAAGAAAGACCUUUCUUUUGAAAAAACAAACAAAAAAAAGGAAUGCAACACGAGGACUUCCCAGGAGGUCACCCAUCCUAGUACUACUCUCGCCCAAGCACGCUUAACUUCGGAGUUCUGAUGGGAUCCGGUGCUUUAGUGCUGGUAUGAUCGCAUCCGACAUACCGUGCGUUCUCCUCCCCUUUAUGCCCGCGCCUCCGUGUACGGCCCGCCCAUAGCUCCUUCGACGGCGCCGCCUAGGAACGCGGAGAAAAUAUGACAAAGGAACGGCCAAAAAUAAAAAGAAAGACCUUUCUUUUGAAAAAACAAACAAAAAAAAGGAAUGCAACACGAGGACUUCCCAGGAGGUCACCCAUCCUAGUACUACUCUCGCCCAAGCACGCUUAACUUCGGAGUUCUGAUGGGAUCCGGUGCUUUAGUGCUGGUAUGAUCACAUCCGACAUACCGUGCGUUCUCCUCCCCUUUAUGCCCGCGCCUCCGUGUACGGCCCGCCCAUAGCUCCUUCGACGGCGCCGCCUAGGAACGCGGAGAAAAUAUGACAAAGGAACGGCCAAAAAUAAAAAGAAAGACCUUUCUUUUGAAAAAACAAACAAAAAAAAGGAAUGCAACACGAGGACUUCCCAGGAGGUCACCCAUUCUAGUACUACUCUCGCCCAAGCAAGCUUAACUUCGGAGUUCUGAUGGGAUCCGGUGCUUUAGUGCUGGUAUGAUCGCAUCCGACAUACCGUGCGUUCUCCUCCCCUUUAUGCCCGCGCCUCCGUGUACGGCCCGCCCAUAGCUCCUUCGACGGCGCCGCCUAGGAACGCGGAGAAAAUAUGACAAAGGAACGGCCAAAAAUAAAAAGAAAGACCUUUCUUUUGAAAAAACAAACAAAAAAAAGGAAUGCAACACGAGGACUUCCCAAAAUAUGACAAAGGAACGGCCAAAAAUAAAAAGAAAGACCUUUCUUUUGAAAAAACAAACAAAAAAAAGGAAUGCAACACGAGGACUUCCCAGGAGGUCACCCAUUCUAGUACUACUCUCGCCCAAGCAAGCUUAACUUCGGAGUUCUGAUGGGAUCCGGUGCUUUAGUGCUCGUAUGAUCGCAUCCGACAUACCGUGCGUUCUCCUCCCCUUUAUGCCCGCGCCUCCGUGUACGGCCCGCCCAUAGCUCCUUCGACGGCGCCGCCUAUGAACGCGGAGAAAAUAUGACAAAGGAACGGCCAAAAAUAAAAAGAAAGACCUUUCUUUUGAAAAAACAAACAAAAAAAAGGAAUGCAACACGAGGACUUCCCAGGAGGUCACCCAUCCUAGUACUACUCUCGCCCAAGCACGCUUAACUUCGGAGUUCUGAUGGGAUCCGGUGCUUUAGUGCUGGUAUGAUCGCAUCCGACAUACCGUGCGUUCUCCUCCCCUUUAUGCCCGCGCCUCCGUGUACGGCCCGCCCAUAGCUCCUUCGACGGCGCCGCCUAGGAACGCGGAGAAAAUAUGACAAAGGAACGGCCAAAAAUAAAAAGAAAGACCUUUCUUUUGAAAAAACAAACAAAAAAAAGGAAUGCAACACGAGGACUUCCCAGGAGGUCACCCAUCCUAGUACUACUCUCGCCCAAGCACGCUUAACUUCGGAGUUCUGAUGGGAUCCGGUGCUUUAGUGCUGGUAUGAUCGCAUCCGACAUACCGUGCGUUCUCCUCCCCUUUAUGCCCGCGCCUCCGUGUACGGCCCGCCCAUAGCUCCUUCGACGGCGCCGCCUAGGAACGCGGAGAAAAUAUGACAAAGGAACGGCCAAAAAUAACAAGAAAGACCUUUCUUUUGAAAAAACAAACAAAAAAAAGGAAUGCAACACGAGGACUUCCCAGGAGGUCACCAAUCCUAGUACUACUCUCGCCCAAGCACGCUUAACUUCGGAGUUCUGAUGGGAUCCGGUGCUUUAGUGCUGGUAUGAUCGCAUCCGACAUACCGUGCGUUCUCCUCCCCUUUAUGCCCGCGCCUCCGUGUACGGCCCGCCCAUAGCUCCUUCGACGGCGCCGCCUAGGAACGCGGAGAAAAUAUGACAAAGGAACGGCCAAAAAUAAAAAGAAAGACCUUUCUUUUGAAAAAACAAACAAAUAAAAGGAAUGCAACACGAGGACUUCCCAGGAGGUCACCCAUCCUAGUACUACUCUCGCCCAAGCACGCUUAACUUCGGAGUUCUGAUGGGAUCCGGUGCUUUAGUGCUGGUAUGAUCGCAUCCGACAUACCGUGCGUUCUCCUCCCCUUUAUGCCCGCGCCUCCGUGUACGGCCCGCCCAUAGCUCCUUCGACGGCGCCGCCUAGGAACGCGGAGAAAAUAUGACAAAGGAACGGCCAAAAAUAAAAAGAAAGACCUUUCUUUUGAAAAAACAAACAAAAAAAAGGAAUGCAACACGAGGACUUCCCAGGAGGUCACCCAUCCUAGUACUACUCUCGCCCAAGCACGCUUAACUUCGGAGUUCUGAUGGGAUCCGGUGCUUUAGUGCUGGUAUGAUCGCAUCCGACAUACCGUGCGUUCUCCUCCCCUUUAUGCCCGCGCCUCCGUGUACGGCCCGCCCAUAGCUCCUUCGACGGCGCCGCCUAGGAACGCGGAGAAAAUAUGACAAAGGAACGGCCAAAAAUAAAAAGAAAGACCUUUCUUUUGAAAAAACAAACAAAAAAAAGGAAUGCAACACGAGGACUUCCCAGGAGGUCACCCAUCCUAGUACUACUCUCGCCCAAGCACGCUUAACUUCGGAGUUCUGAUGGGAUCCGGUGCUUUAGUGCUGGUAUGAUCGCAUCCGACAUACCGUGCGUUCUCCUCCCCUUUAUGCCCGCGCCUCCGUGUACGGCCCGCCCAUAGCUCCUUCGACGGCGCCGCCUAGGAACGCGGAGAAAAUAUGACAAAGGAACGGCCAAAAAUAAAAAGAAAGACCUUUCUUUUGAAAAAACAAACGCCUCCGUGUACGGCCCGCCCAUAGCUCCUUCGACGGCGCCGCCUAGGAACGCGGAGAAAAUAUGACAAAGGAACGGCCAAAAAUAAAAAGAAAGACCUUUCUUUUGAAAAAACAAACAAAAAAAAGGAAUGCAACACGAGGACUUCCCAGGAGGUCACCCAUCCUAGUACUACUCUCGCCCAAGCACGCUUAACUUCGGAGUUCUGAUGGGAUCCGGUGCUUUAGUGCUGGUAUGAUCGCAUCCGACAUACCGUGCGUUCUCCUCCCCUUUAUGCCCGCGCCUCCGUGUACGGCCCGCCCAUAGCUCCUUCGACGGCGCCGCCUAGGAACGCGGAGAAAAUAUGACAAAGGAACGGCCAAAAAUAAAAAGAAAGACCUUUCUUUUGAAAAAACAAACAAAAAAAAGGAAUGCAACACGAGGACUUCCCAGGAGGUCACCCAUCCUAGUACUACUCUCGCCCAAGCACGCUUAACUUCGGAGUUCUGAUGGGAUCCGGUGCUUUAGUGCUGGUAUGAUCGCAUCCGACAUACCGUGCGUUCUCCUCCCCUUUAUGCCCGCGCCUCCGUGUACGGCCCGCCCAUAGCUCCUUCGACGGCGCCGCCUAGGAACGCGGAGAAAAUAUGACAAAGGAACGGCCCAAAAUAAAAAGAAAGACCUUUCUUUUGAAAAAACAAACAAAAAAAAGGGAAUGCAACACGAGGACUUCCCAGGAGGUCACCCAUCCUAGUACUACUCUCGCCCAAGCACGCUUAACUUCGGAGUUCUGAUGGGAUCCGGUGCUUUAGUGCUGGUAUGAUCGCAUCCGACAUACCGUGCGUUCUCCUCCCCUUUAUGCCCGCGCCUCCGUGUACGGCCCGCCCAUAGCUCCUUCGACGGCGCCGCCUAGGAACGCGGAGAAAAUAUGACAAAGGAACGACCAAAAAUAAAAAGAAAGACCUUUCUUUUGAAAAAACAAACAAAAAAAAGGAAUGCAACACGAGGACUUCCCAGGAGGUCACCCAUCCUAGUACUACUCUCGCCCAAGCACGCUUAACUUCGGAGUUCUGAUGGGAUCCGGUGCUUUAGUGCUGGUAUGAUCGCAUCCGACAUACCGUGCGUUCUCCUCCCCUUUAUGCCCGCGCCUCCGUGUACGGCCCGCCCAUAGCUCCUUCGACGGCGCCGCCUAGGAACGCGGAGAAAAUAUGACAAAGGAACGGCCAAAAAUAAAAAGAAAGACCUUUCUUUUGAAAAAACAAACAAAAAAAAGGAAUGCAACACGAGGACUUCCCAGGAGGUCACCCAUCCUAGUACUACUCUCGCCCAAGCACGCUUAACUUCGGAGUUCUGAUGGGAUCCGGUGCUUUAGUGCUGGUAUGAUCGCAUCCGACAUACCGUGCGUUCUCCUCCCCUUUAUGCCCGCGCCUCCGUGUACGGCCCGCCCAUAGCUCCUUCGACGGCGCCGCCUAGGAACGCGGAGAAAAUAUGACAAAGGAACGGCCAAAAAUAAAAAGAAAGACCUUUCUUUUGAAAAAACAAACAAAAAAAAGGAAUGCAACACGAAGACUUCCCAGGAGGUCACCCAUCCUAGUACUACUCUCGCCCAAGCACGCUUAACUUCGGAGUUCUGAUGGGAUCCGGUGCUUUAGUGCUGGUAUGAUCGCAUCCGACAUACCGUGCGUUCUCCUCCCCUUUAUGCCCGCGCCUCCGUGUACGGCCCGCCCAUAGCUCCUUCGACGGCGCCGCCUAGGAACGCGGAGAAAAUAUGACAAAGGAACGGCCAAAAAUAAAAAGAAAGACCUUUCUUUUGAAAAAACAAACAAAAAAAAGGAAUGCAACACGAGGACUUCCCAGGAGGUCACCCAUCCUAGUACUACUCUCGCCCAAGCACGCUUAACUUCGGAGUUCUGAUGGGAUCCGGUGCUUUAGUGCUGGUAUGAUCGCAUCCGACAUACCGUGCGUUCUCCUCCCCUUUAUGCCCGCGCCUCCGUGUACGGCCCGCCCAUAGCUCCUUCGACGGCGCCGCCUAGGAACGCGGAGAAAAUAUGACAAAGGAACGGCCAAAAAUAAAAAGAAAGACCUUUCUUUUGAAAAAACAAACAAAAAAAAGGAAUGCAACACGAGGACUUCCCAGGAGGUCACCCAUCCUAGUACUACUCUCGCCCAAGCACGCUUAACUUCGGAGUUCUGAUGGGAUCCGGUGCUUUAGUGCUGGUAUGAUCGCAUCCGACAUACCGUGCGUUCUCCUCCCCUUUAUGCCCGCGCCUCCGUGUACGGCCCGCCCAUAGCUCCUUCGACGGCGCCGCCUAGGAACGCGGAGAAAAUAUGACAAAGGAACGGCCAAAAAUAAAAAGAAAGACCUUUCUUUUGAAAAAACAAACAAAAAAAAGGAAUGCAACACGAGGACUUCCCAGGAGGUCACCCAUCCUAGUACUACUCUCGCCCAAGCACGCUUAACUUCGGAGUUCUGAUGGGAUCCGGUGCUUUAGUGCUGGUAUGAUCGCAUCCGACAUACCGUGCGUUCUCCUCCCCUUUAUGCCCGCGCCUCCGUGUACGGCCCGCCCAUAGCUCCUUCGACGGCGCCGCCUAGGAACGCGGAGAAAAUAUGACAAAGGAACGGCCAAAAAUAAAAAGAAAGACCUUUCUUUUGAAAAAACAAACAAAAAAAAGGAAUGCAACACGAGGACUUCCCAGGAGGUCACCCAUCCUAGUACUACUCUCGCCCAAGCACGCUUAACUUCGGAGUUCUGAUGGGAUCCGGUGCUUUAGUGCUGGUAUGAUCGCAUCCGACAUACCGUGCGUUCUCCUCCCCUUUAUGCCCGCGCCUCCGUGUACGGUCCGCCCAUAGCUCCUUCGACGGCGCCGCCUAGGAACGCGGAGAAAAUAUGACAAAGGAACGGCCAAAAAUAAAAAGAAAGUCCUUUCUUUUGAAAAAACAAACAAAAAAAAGGUAUGCAACACGAGGACUUCCUAGGAGGUCACCCAUCCUAGUACUACUCUCGCCCAAGCACGCUUAACUUCGGAGUUCUGAUGGGAUCCGGUGCUUUAGUGCUGGUAUGAUCGCAUCCGACAUACCGUGCGUUCUCCUCCCCUUUAUGCCCGCGCCUCCGUGUACGGCCCGCCCAUAGCUCCUUCGACGGCGCCGCCUAGGAACGCGGAGAAAAUAUGACAAAGGAACGGCCAAAAAUAAAAAGAAAGACCUUUCUUUUGAAAAAACAAACAAAAAAAAGGAAUGCAACACGAGGACUUCCCAGGAGGUCACCCAUCCUAGUACUACUCUCGCCCAAGCACGCUUAACUUCGGAGUUCUGAUGGGAUCCGGUGCUUUAGUGCUGGUAUGAUCGCAUCCGACAUACCGUGCGUUCUCCUCCCCUUUAUGCCCGCGCCUCCGUGUACGGCCCGCCCAUAGCUCCUUCGACGGCGCCGCCUAGGAACGCGGAGAAAAUAUGACAAAGGAACGGCCAAAAAUAAAAAGAAAGACCUUUCUUUGAAAAAACAAAGAAAUAAAAGGAAUGCAACACGAGGACUUCCCAGGAGGUCACCCAUCCUAGUACUACUCUCGCCCAAGCACGCUUAACUUCGGAGUUCUGAUGGGAUCCGGUGCUUUAGUGCUGGUAUGAUCGCAUUCGACAUACCGUGCGUUCUCCUCCCCUUUAUGCCCGCGCCUCCGUGUACGGCCCGCCCAUAGCUCCUUCGACGGCGCCGCCUAGGAACGCGGAGAAAAUAUGACAAAGGAACGGCCAAAAAUAAAAAGAAAGACCUUUCUUUUGAAAAAACAAACAAAUAAAAGGAAUGCAACACGAGGACUUCCCAGGAGGUCACCCAUCCUAGUACUACUCUCGCCCAAGCACGCUUAACUUCGGAGUUCUGAUGGGAUCCGGUGCUUUAGUGCUGGUAUGAUCGCAUCCGACAUACCGUGCGUUCUCCUCCCCUUUAUGCCCGCGCCUCCGUGUACGGCCCGCCCAUAGCUCCUUCGACGGCGCCGCCUAGGAACGCGGAGAAAAUAUGACAAAGGAACGGCCAAAAAUAAAAAGAAAGACCUUUCUUUUGAAAAAACAAACGCCUCCGUGUACGGCCCGCCCAUAGCUCCUUCGACGGCGCCGCCUAGGAACGCGGAGAAAAUAUGACAAAGGAACGGCCAAAAAUAAAAAGAAAGACCUUUCUUUUGAAAAAACAAACAAAAAAAAGGAAUGCAACACGAGGACUUCCCAGGAGGUCACCCAUCCUAUUACUACUCUCGCCCAAGCACGCUUAACUUCGGAGUUCUGAUGGGAUCCGGUGCUUUAGUGCUGGUAUGAUCGCAUCCGACAUACCGUGCGUUCUCCUCCCCUUUAUGCCCGCGCCUCCGUGUACGGCCCGCCCAUAGCUCCUUCGACGGCGCCGCCUAGGAACGCGGAGAAAAUAUGACAAAGGAACGGCCAAAAAUAAAAAGAAAGACCUUUCUUUUGAAAAAACAAACAAAAAAAAGGAAUGCAACACGAGGACUUCCCAGGAGGUCACCCAUCCUAGUACUACUCUCGCCCAAGCACGCUUAACUUCGGAGUUCUGAUGGGAUCCGGUGCUUUAGUGCUGGUAUGAUCGCAUCCGACAUACCGUGCGUUCUCCUCCCCUUUAUGCCCGCGCCUCCGUGUACGGCCCGCCCAUAGCUCCUUCGACGGCGCCGCCUAGGAACGCGGAGAAAAUAUGACAAAGGAACGGCCAAAAAUAAAAAGAAAGACCUUUCUUUUGAAAAAACAAACAAAAAAAAGGAAUGCAACACGAGGACUUCCCAGGAGGUCACCCAUCCUAGUACUACUCUCGCCCAAGCACGCUUAACUUCGGAGUUCUGAUGGGAUCCGGUGCUUUAGUGCUGGUAUGAUCGCAUCCGACAUACCGUGCGUUCUCCUCCCCUUUAUGCCCGCGCCUCCGUGUACGGCCCGCCCAUAGCUCCUUCGACGGCGCCGCCUAGGAACGCGGAGAAAAUAUGACAAAGGAACGGCCAAAAAUAAAAAGAAAGACCUUUCUUUUGAAAAAACAAACAAAUAAAAGGAAUGCAACACGAGGACUUCCCAGGAGGUCACCCAUCCUAGUACUACUCUCGCCCAAGCACGCUUAACUUCGGAGUUCUGAUGGGAUCCGGUGCUUUAGUGCUGGUAUGAUCGCAUCCGACAUACCGUGCGUUCUCCUCCCCUUUAUGCCCGCGCCUCCGUGUACGGCCCGCCCAUAGCUCCUUCGACGGCGCCGCCUAGGAACGCGGAGAAAAUAUGACAAAGGAACGGCCAAAAAUAAAAAGAAAGACCUUUCUUUUGAAAAAACAAACAAAUAAAAGGAAUGCAACACGAGGACUUCCCAGGAGGUCACCCAUACUAGUACUACUCUCGCCCAAGCACGCUUAACUUCGGAGUUCUAAUGGGAUCCGGUGCUUUAGUGCUGGUAUGAUCGCAUCCGACAUACCGUGCGUUCUCCUCCCCUUUAUGCCCGCGCCUCCGUGUACGGCCCGCCCAUAGCUCCUUCGACGGCGCCGCCUAGGAACGCGGAGAAAAUAUGACAAAGGAACGGCCAACAAUAANNNNNNNNNNNNNNNNNNNNNNNNNNNNNNNNNNNNNNNNNNNNNNNNNNNNNNNNNNNNNNNNNNNNNNNNNNNNNNNNNNNNNNNNNNNNNNNNNNNNGUCACCCAUCCCAGUACUACUCUCGCCCAAGGCACGCUUAACUUCGGAGUUCUGAUGGGAUCCGGUGCUUUAGUGCUGGUAUGAUCGCAUCCGACAUACCGUGCGUUCUCCUCCCCUUUAUGCCCGCGCCUCCGUGUACGGCCCGCCCAUAGCUCGUUCGACGCCGCCGCCUAGGAACCCGGAGAAAAUAUGACAAAGGAACGGCCAAAAAUCCAAAGAAAGAUCUUUCUUUUGAAAAAACCACCAUAAAAGGAAUGCAACACGAGGACUUCCCAGGAGGUCACCCAUCCUAGUACUACUCUCGCCCAAGCACGCUUAACUUCGGAGUUCUGAUGGGAUCCAGUGCUUUAGUGCUGGUAUGAUCGCAUCCGACAUACCGUGCGUUCUCCUCCCCUUUAUGCCCGCGCCUCCGUGUACGGCCCGCCCAUAGCUCGUUCGACGGCGCCGCCUAGGAACGCGGAGAAAAUAUGACAAAAGAACGGCCAAAAAUAAAAAGAAAGACCUUUCUUUUGAAAAAAGAAACAAAAAAAGGAAUGCAACACGAGGACUUCCCAAGAGGUCACCCAUCCUAGUGCUACUCUCGCCCAAGCACGCUUAACUUCGGAGUUCUGAUGGGAUCCGGUGCUUCAGUGCUGGUAUGAUCGCAUCCGAUAUACCGUGCGUUCUCCUCCCCUUUAUGCCCGCGCCUCCGUGUACGGCCCGCCCAUAGCUCGUUCGACGGCGCCGCCUAGGAACGCGGAGAAACUAUGACAAAGGAACGGCCAAAAAUAAAAAGAAAUACCUUUCUUUUGAAAAAACAAACAAAAAAAGGAAUGCAACACGAGAACUUUCCACGAGGUCACCCAUCCUAGUACUACUCUCGUCCAAACACGCUUAACUUCAGAGUUCUAAUGGGAUCCGGUGCUUUAGUGCUGGUAUGAUCGCAUCCGACAUACCGUGCGUUCUCCUCCCCUUUAUGCCCGCGCCUCCGUGUACGGCCCGCCCAUAGCUCCUUCGACGGCGCCGCCUAGGAACGCGGAGAAAAUAUGACAAAGGAACGGCCAAAAAUAAAAAGAAAGACCUUUCUUUUGAAAAAACAAACAAAAAAAGGAAUGCAACACGAGGACUUCCCAGGAGGUCACCCAUCCUAGUACUACUCUCGCCCAAGCACGCUUAACUUCAAAGUUCUGAUGGGAUCCGGUGCUUUAGUGCUGGUAUGAUCGCAUCCGACAUACCGUGCGUUCUCCUCCCCUUUAUGCCCGCGCCUCCGUGUACGGCCCGCCCAUAGCUCCUUCGACGGCGCCGCCUAGGAACGCGGAGAAAAUAUGACAAAGGAACGGCCAAAAAUAAAAAGAAAGACCUUUCUUUUGAAAAAACAAACAAAAAAAGGAAUGCAACACGAGGACUUCCCAGGAGGUCACCCAUCCUAGUACUACUGUCGCCCAAGCACGCUUAAGUUCGGAGUUCUGAUGGGAUCCGGUGCUUUAGUGCUGGUAUGAUCGCAUCCGACAUGCCGUGCGUUCUCCUCCCCUUUAUGCCCGCGCCUCCGUGUACGGCCCGCCCAUAGCUCCUUCGUCGGCGCCGCCUAGGAACGCGGAGAAAAUAUGACAAAGGAACGGCCAAAAAUAAAAAGAAAGACCUUUCUUUUGAAAAAACAAACGCCUCCGUGUACGGCCCGCCCAUAGCUCCUUCGACGGCGCCGCCUAGGAACGCGGAGAAAAUAUGACAAAGGAACGGCCAAAAAUAAAAAGAAAGACCUUUCUUUUGAAAAAACAAACAAAAAAAAGGAAUGCAACACGAGGACUUCCCAGGAGGUCACCCAUCCUAGUACUACUCUCGCCCAAGCACGCUUAACUUCGGAGUUCUGAUGGGAUCCGGUGCUUUAGUGCUGGUAUGAUCGCAUCCGACAUACCGUGCGUUCUCCUCCCCUUUAUGCCCGCCCCUCCGUGUACGGCCCGCCCAUAGCUCUUUCGACGGCGCCGCCUAGGAACGCGGAGAAAAUAUGACAAAGGAACGGCCAAAAAUAAAAAGAAAGACCUUUCUUUUGAAAAAACAAACGCCUCCGUGUACGGCCCGCCCAUAGCUCCUUCGACGGCGCCGCCUAGGAACGCGGAGAAAAUAUGACAAAGGAACGGCCAAAAAUAAAAAGAAAGACCUUUCUUUUGAAAAAACAAACAAAAAAAAGGAAUGCAACACGAGGACUUCCCAGGAGGUCACCCAUCCUAGUACUACUCUCGCCCAAGCACGCUUAACUUCGGAGUUCUGAUGGGAUCCGGUGCUUUAGUGCUGGUAUGAUCGCAUCCGACAUACCGUGCGUUCUCCUCCCCUUUAUGCCCGCGCCUCCGUGUACGGCCCGCCCAUAGCUCCUUCGACGGCGCCGCCUAGGAACGCGGAGAAAAUAUGACAAAGGAACGGCCAAAAAUAAAAAGAAAGACCUUUCUUUUGAAAAAACAAACAAAAAAAAGGAAUGCAACACGAGGACUUCCCAGGAGGUCACCCAUCCUAGUACUACUCUCGCCCAAGCACGCUUAACUUCGGAGUUCUGAUGGGAUCCGGUGCUUUAGUGCUGGUAUGAUCGCAUCCGACAUACCGUGCGUUCUCCUCCCCUUUAUGCCCGCGCCUCCGUGUACGGCCCGCCCAUAGCUCCUUCGACGGCGCCGCCUAGGAACGCGGAGAAAAUAUGACAAAGGAACGGGCAAAAAUAAAAAGAAAGACCUUUCUUUUGAAAAAACAAACAAAAAAAAGGAAUGCAACACGAGGACUUCCCAGGAGGUCACCCAUCCUAGUACUACUCUCGCCCAAGCACGCUUAACUUCGGAGUUCUGAUGGGAUCCGGUGCUUUAGUGCUGGUAUGAUCGCAUCCGACAUACCGUGCGUUCUCCUCCCCUUUAUGCCCGCGCCUCCGUGUACGGGCCGUCCAUAGCUCCUUCGACGGCGCCGCCUAUGAACGCGGAGAAAAUAUGACAAAGGAACGGCCAACAAUCAUACGAAAGACCUUUCUUUUGAAAAAACAAACAAAAAAAAGGAAUGCGACACGAGGACUUCCCAGGAGGUCACCCAUCCUAGUACUACUCUCGCCCAAGCACGCUUAACUUCGGAGUUCUGAUGGGAUCCGGUGCUUUAGUGCUAGUAUGAUCGCAUUCGACAUACCGUGCGUUCUCCUCCCCUUUAUGCCCGCGCCUCCGUGUACGGCCCGCCCAUAGCUCCUUCGACGGCGCCGCCUAGGAACGCGGAGAAAAUAUGACAAAGGAACGGCCAAAAAUAAAAAGAAAGACCUUUCUUUUGAAAAAACAAACAAAUAAAAGGAAUGCAACACGAGGACUUCCCAGGAGGUCACCCAUCCUAGUACUACUCUCGCCCAAGCACGCUUAACUUCGGAGUUCUGAUGGGAUCCGGUGCUUUAGUGCUGGUAUGAUCGCAUCCGACAUACCGUGCGUUCUCCUCCCCUUUAUGCCCGCGCCUCCGUGUACGGCCCGCCCAUAGCUCCUUCGACGGCGCCGCCUAGGAACGCGGAGAAAAUAUGACAAAGGAACGGCCAAAAAUAAAAAGAAAGACCUUUCUUUUGAAAAAACAAACGCCUCCGUGUACGGCCCGCCCAUAGCUCCUUCGACGGCGCCGCCUAGGAACGCGGAGAAAAUAUGACAAAGGAACGGCCAAAAAUAAAAAGAAAGACCUUUCUUUUGAAAAAACAAACAAAAAAAAGGAAUGCAACACGAGGACUUCCCAGGAGGUCACCCAUCCUAGUACUACUCUCGCCCAAGCACGCUUAACUUCGGAGUUCUGAUGGGAUCCGGUGCUUUAGUGCUGGUAUGAUCGCAUCCGACAUACCGUGCGUUCUCCUCCCCUUUAUGCCCGCGCCUCCGUGUACGGCCCGCCCAUAGCUCCUUCGACGGCGCCGCCUAGGAACGCGGAGAAAAUAUGACAAAGGAACGGCCAAAAAUAAAAAGAAAGACCUUUCUUUUGAAAAAACAAACAAAUAAAAGGAAUGCAACACGAGGACUUCCCAGGAGGUCACCCAUCCUAGUACUACUCUCGCCCAAGCACGCUUAACUUCGGAGUUCUGAUGGGAUCCGGUGCUUUAGUGCUGGUAUGAUCGCAUCCGACAUACCGUGCGUUCUCCUCCCCUUUAUGCCCGCGCCUCCGUGUACGGCCCGCCCAUAGCUCCUUCGACGGCGCCGCCUAGGAACGCGGAGAAAAUAUGACAAAGGAACGGCCAAAAAUAAAAAGAAAGACCUUUCUUUUGAAAAAACAAACAAAUAAAAGGAAUGCAACACGAGGACUUCCCAGGAGGUCACCCAUCCUAGUACUACUCUCGCCCAAGCACGCUUAACUUCGGAGUUCUGAUGGGAUCCGGUGCUUUAGUGCUGGUAUGAUCGCAUCCGACAUACCGUGCGUUCUCCUCCCCUUUAUGCCCGCGCCUCCGUGUACGGCCCGCCCAUAGCUCCUUCGACGGCGCCGCCUUGGAACGCGGAGAAAAUAUGACAAAGGAACGGCCAAAAAUAAAAAGAAAGACCUUUCUUUUGAAAAAACAAACAAAUAAAAGGAAUGCAACACGAGGACUUCCCAGGAGGUCACCCAUCCUAGUACUACUCUCGCCCAAGCACGCUUAACUUCGGAGUUCUGAUGGGAUCCGGUGCUUUAGUGCUGGUAUGAUCGCAUCCGACAUACCGUGCGUUCUCCUCCCCUUUAUGCCCGCGCCUCCGUGUACGGCCCGCCCAUAGCUCCUUCGACGGCGCCGCCUAGGAACGCGGAGAAAAUAUGACAAAGGAACGGCCAAAAAUAAAAAGAAAGACCUUUCUUUUGAAAAAACAAACAAAUAAAAGGAAUGCAACACGAGGACUUCCCAGGAGGUCACCCAUCCUAGUACUACUCUCGCCCAAGCACGCUUAACUUCGGAGUUCUGAUGGGAUCCGGUGCUUUAGUGCUGGUAUGAUCGCAUUCGACAUACCGUGCGUUCUCCUCCCCUUUAUGCCCGCGCCUCCGUGUACGGGCCGCCCAUAGCUCCUUCGACGGCGCCGCCUAGGAACGCGGAGAAAAUAUGACAAAGGAACGGCCAAAAAUAAAAAGAAAGACCUGUUCUUUUGAAAAAACAAACUAAAAAAAGGAAUGCAGCACGAGGACUUCCCAGGAGGUCACCCAUCCUAAUACUACUCUCGCCCAAGCACGCUUAACUUCGGAGUUCUGAUGGGAUCCGGAGCUUUAGUGUUGGUAUGAUCGCAUCCGACAUACCGUGCGUUCUCCUCCCCUUUAUGCACCCGCCUCCGUGUACGGCCCGCCCAUAGCUCCUUCGACGGCGCCGCCUAGGAACGCGGAGAAAAUAUGACAAAGGAACGGCCAAAAAUAAAAAGAAAGACCUUUCUUUUGAAAAAACAAACAAAAAAAAGGAAUGCAACACGAGGACUUCCCAGGAGGUCACCCAUCCUAGUACUACUCUCGCCCAAGCACGCUUAACUUCGGAGUUCUGAUGGGAUCCGGUGCUUUAGUGCUGGUAUGAUCGCAUCCGACAUACCGUGCGUUCUCCUCCCCUUUAUGCCCGCGCCUCCGUGUACGGCCCGCCCAUAGCUCCUUCGACGGCGCCGCCUAGGAACGCGGAGAAAAUAUGACAAAGGAACGGCCAAAAAUAAAAAGAAAGACCUUUCUUUUGAAAAAACAAACAAAAAAAAGGAAUGCAACACGAGGACUUCCCAGGAGGUCACCCAUCCUAGUACUACUCUCGCCCAAGCACGCUUAACUUCGGAGUUCUGAUGGGAUCCGGUGCUUUAGUGCUGGUAUGAUCGCAUCCGACAUACCGUGCGUUCUCCUCCCCUUUAUGCCCGCGCCUCCGUGUACGGCCCGCCCAUAGCUCCUUCGACGGCGCCGCCUAGGAACGCGGAGAAAAUAUGACAAAGGAACGGCCAAAAAUAAAAAGAAAGACCUUUCUUUUGAAAAAACAAACAAAUAAAAGGAAUGCAACACGAGGACUUCCCAGGAGGUCACCCAUCCUAGUACUACUCUCGCCCAAGCACGCUUAACUUCGGAGUUCUGAUGGGAUCCGGUGCUUUAGUGCUGGUAUGAUCGCAUCCGACAUACCGUGCGUUCUCCUCCCCUUUAUGCCCGCGCCUCCGUGUACGGCCCGCCCAUAGCUCCUUCGACGGCGCCGCCUAGGAACGCGGAGAAAAUAUGACAAAGGAACGGCCAAAAAUAAAAAGAAAGACCUUUCUUUUGAAAAAACAAACGCCUCCGUGUACGGCCCGCCCAUAGCUCCUUCGACGGCGCCGCCUAGGAACGCGGAGAAAAUAUGACAAAGGAACGGCCAAAAAUAAAAAGAAAGACCUUUCUUUUGAAAAAACAAACAAAAAAAAGGAAUGCAACACGAGGACUUCCCAGGAGGUCACCCAUCCUAGUACUACUCUCGCCCAAGCACGCUUAACUUCGGAGUUCUGAUGGGAUCCGGUGCUUUAGUGCUGGUAUGAUCGCAUCCGACAUACCGAGCGUUCUCCUCCCCUUUAUGCCCGCGCCUCCGUGUACGGCCCGCCCAUAGCUCCUUCGACGGCGCCGCCUAGGAACGCGGAGAAAAUAUGACAAAGGAACGGCCAAAAAUAAAAAGAAAGACCUUUCUUUUGAAAAAACAAACGCCUCCGUGUACGGCCCGCCCAUAGCUCCUUCGACGGCGCCGCCUAGGAACGCGGAGAAAAUAUGACAAAGGAACGGCCAAAAAUAAAAAGAAAGACCUUUCUUUUGAAAAAACAAACAAAAAAAAGGAAUGCAACACGAGGACUUCCCAGGAGGUCACCCAUCCUAGUACUACUCUCGCCCAAGCACGCUUAACUUCGGAGUUCUGAUGGGAUCCGGUGCUUUAGUGCUGGUAUGAUCGCAUCCGACAUACCGUGCGUUCUCCUCCCCUUUAUGCCCGCGCCUCCGUGUACGGCCCGCCCAUAGCUCCUUCGACGGCGCCGCCUAGGAACGCGGAGAAAAUAUGACAAAGGAACGGCCAAAAAUAAAAAGAAAGACCUUUCUUUUGAAAAAACAAACACCUAAAAGGAAUGCAACACGAGGACUUCCCAGGAGGUCACCCGUCAUCGUAGUACUCUCGCCCAAGCACGCUUAGCUUCGGAGUUCUGAUGAGAUCCGGUGCUUUAGUGCUGGUAUGAUCGCAUCCGACAUACCGUGAGUUCUCCUCCCCUUUAUGCCCGUGCCUCCAUGUACCGCCCGCCCAUAGCUCCUUCGACGGGACGCUCCUAGGAACGCGGAGAAAAUAUUACAAAGGAGCGCCCAAAAAUAAAAAGAAAGACCUUUCUUUUGAAAAAACAAACGCCUCCGUGUACGGCCCGCCCAUAGCUCCUUCGACGGCGCCGCCUAGGAACGCGGAGAAAAUAUGACAAAGGAACGGCCAAAAAUAAAAAGAAAGACCUUUCUUUUGAAAAAACAAACAAAAAAAAGGAAUGCAACACGCGGACUUCCCAGGAGGUCACCCAUCCUAGUACUACUCUCGCCCAAGCACGCUUAAGUUCGGAGUUCUGAUGGGAUCCGGUUCUUUAGUGCUGGC
rnacentral:lncRNA from 1 species